rnacentral:lncRNA from 1 species
GGUAGCUGGCUCAUGAUGCCGAUAGAUGUUAGAAUUUUUUAUGCGUAAGGGUUUGGGUGGAUGAGGGUGUUUUGCUGCAAACUCCUCGUGAGUUGGAAUCCUUACUGUUGCGCAUGAUGCAACUUCCUCUGUCGAUUGAUGUGGAGUAGGUGAUAUCGAUCGAUUCUCGUCUGUCUCCAUCGGUCAAUAUUCAUCUCUUGGUGUCAGUCGACACCAGUGUGAUCCGCCGAAACUCAUGGAGCUUUCGACUUGGAAGUCUCCCUCCCGAAGCUUCUCCUCCUUUACCACUUGCCAGAAAUCAUCAUCUAUGAUGGCAUUCACGUGGUGCUUCAGUGAAUCAUCACCUUUACCCUUGAUGAAGGCCUCAU